rnacentral:rRNA from 1 species
UAGUCCUUCACCACACAAGUGGUGUCGGGAAAUGGAUUCCGCCAAGGGAUCGGGCUAUAUGGUAUCAGCUAGUUGGUAGGGUAACGGCCUACCAAGGCUAUGACGCCUAGCUGGUCUGAGAGGAUGAUCAGCCACACUGGAACUGAGACACGGUCCAGACUCCUACGGGAGGCAGCAGUGGGGAAUAUUGCACAAUGGGCGAAAGCCUGAUGCAGCAACGCCGCGUGGAGGAUGACACCCUUCGGGGCGUAAACUCCUUUNAUGAGGGAAGAUAAUGACGGUACCUCAUGAANAAGCACCGGCUAACUCCGUGCCAGCAGCCGCGGNAAUACGG